ensembl:lncRNA
CCGUCCAUGGGGGGUCAGAAAAAUAAACUUCAUUCAAAGGCAAAACAAGGUUCACUGGAUGUCCAUCAAUCAGACAUGUCUGUGUGUUUCUUCACAAUCUACUUAGAGGAGCCGGAUAGUUCAGGACACAGUUAUGGACCUGUCAGCAGAGGCGUGAGAACACACACACACACUCAGCAGUUUAUCAGAAAUCACAAGUGGGUGACACACACUCACUGGUGUGUGCUGAUGAUCUUUCUCUCACACGCUUCUUAUCACUUCCUAUCUCUGGUGACAUAUAAAUUCCAGAAGCAUCAGAUGAUGUUGAUCUAAUGUCACAAACAGCUUUAAAAUGCUGAUUUAUAUUGAAAAAAUACAUUCAACUUCAAAACAUCUGCUGACAUCUGUGUGUGUGUGCAGCUGAUCUUGGCUCUGCAGGGGGUGGACAGAGUCAUCAGUCAGCUGAUGAACAUCCUCAGACAACUCAACUUUCAUCGUCGCCGGUCAUGCUAAAACACACACUCCUCAGCUGUGAGGAAACACUGUGUGCAAGUGUGAUGUGUGUGUCUGGUGUGUGCAUGCAGGUAUGGAGGGGACCAGCUGCAGGCGUAAACAGGCUCUUCAGGAUUUUAUAGGUGAUGUCAGUCAUCUGUACAUCAAAGAAGGGCCGUAUGGACGAAUCAGAGCAAAACACACAACACACACCUGUAAGACAAACACACACACAGUUAAGAUGAGCCCUAGUGAGUGACGUGUCAGUAACCUGUGUGUGUGUGUGUGUGUGUGUGUGUUUGACAGUGGACGCAGUGACGUAAUGUUUUGACAGUGGACGCAGUGACAUAAUGAAAACACACUGCAUACUCUCCAAAUACUAUCAACAACAUUAUAGCAUUUCAGUAUAGCGUGUCAGUAAGAUUAGCAGUGCUUUGUGUGUGUUACAUGUGUGCCAUGUUUCGUGUGCAGUGCUUUGUGUGUUACAUGUGUUUUAUGUGUGUUGUGUUUUCUGUGUGUUUCAUGUGUGUUUUGUGUGUUAAGUGUGUGUUACAUGUCCAGUAUUACAUAUGCAUUAUGUGUGCAGUGUUCCGUGUGUUUUCGGUUUGUUUUGUGUUACAUGUGCAGUUACUUGUGCGUUAUGUGUGCAGUGUUUCAUGUGUGUUUCGUUUGUAGUGUUUUGUGUUUGUUACGUGAAUAUGAUAAUGACGUCUACAGCAUGCAGGUGAGUGUGUGUGUAUGUGUGUGUGUCUGUGUUUUUGAACAAAUUAAUAAAAGAGAGCUAAUGCAUCUGCGAACCUAGAAAACAUGAUAUGAGAUGAGAUUAUUUUUAGAGCACAACAGAAGCUAAUCUAAAGUGCUUUACAGUAGAAAAUACAGUAGCAUUCUAAAGAAAAUACAGAAAGAAAAACACAGCACAU